rnacentral:tRNA from 1 species
GCUAAACAUCCAUGGCUGAGUGGUUAAAGCACCAACUCAUAAUUGGUGAAUUCGUAGGUUUAAUUCCUACUGGAUGCACGC